UACGAGGGGUGCAAGCGUUGCUCGGAAUUAUUGGGCGUAAAGGGUGUGCAGGCGGGGGAACAAGUGGGGUAUGAAAUCUCCCAGCUUAACUGGGAUAGGUUAUGCCAGACUGUUCUUCUAGAGGACGAGAGAGGGGGGUGGAAUUCCGGGUGUAGUGGUGAAAUGCGUAGAGAUCCGGAGGAACCCCAGAGGCGAAGGCGGCCCCCUGGCUCGUACCUGACGCUCAGCCACGAAAGCAUGGGGAGCGAACGGG
rnacentral:rRNA from 1 species